AGAAUAUAAGCCAUUUGCAGCGUGUCGUCUCACUGUGUUUUCAGCCCUGACUUGUACAGUAAAGCAACUCCUACUCCAUUCACCAGGCAGGGAUGGCAGGAUCAGCCUUAUCCAGAAACAGAGGACUGAUUUUUUUCAUCUUCUCUCUGCUGUCAUUGGUUUAUGUUACAAAUUCACUGAGCAAUAAGGAACUUUUGAAACUCAAAGAACAACUUCGGAAACUAGAAGAAAGAGCAGCCAGAAUGAAGGCAGACUACGAGUACAGUAAAGCAAC